rnacentral:lncRNA from 1 species
GAAGCAAAUUUUGGACUUUCUGCCAAUCAGGUGGAACAAACAGCAGUUGGAAUGUUAGAGAGAAGAUAUUGACAAGAAUGACAGUUGGUGGGGGGAGGGGCAACUGGGAGUGGCAGUUGGUCUGGUGAUGCUCUCUCUUCCUGGCCCUUAGACUAAAAGGUGCCUGUCUGGAUAGAAGUGCCUCUAUUCCUGAUUUUCCCAGGGUCUCCCCUGCUCACGUGCUAUUGGUGGCUGGUGGCAGCGUGCUGAGUGUCUUGGUAUCUUGGCGUGGCAGAAGCUAUUGUCCGGGUUUGGCGGUGAGUGUCCUUGAUACACGACUGGGGAAACUUAGUAAUCUAGUUCAGGUGAGGCAUCUUUUCUGAGCUUUCUAGGAGUUCAGGCUGAUUCCUUUCUCCUUUACCUUCCAAACACUAUCUUCUUAGGAAGCCCCUAAUCUUCUGAGAAGACCUUGUGGCAGAGGUCUUUGAACUCCCCCUGGCACAGGCUAGGCUGGAGAAAUCCUAUACUCUCUCUCCCUCUCUCUUCUUCUUAACUACUUCCCUCUAUAUUAAUGAAACCACCAUAAAAUUUCCAAACUGACUUGGGUAUUUUAUUUGGGAUUUUCCCUGGAAACCAAUUAAAUUUAGAUUAAUUCACAACCCUAAAAUUUCCCCUUAUACGGGUCAUAAAGAAAUCCUAGAGGAAAAGGAUGAAAUAAUAAAAGAGCUUAAAACCAAGUUCA